rnacentral:rRNA from 1 species
UACGAGGGGGGCGAGCGUUAUUCGGAAUCACUGGGCGUAAAGCGUGCGUAGGCUGUUUUGUAAGUUGGGAGUGAAAGCCCAGGGCUUAACCCUGGAAUUGCUCUCAAAACUACAAGACUCGGAUUCGGGAGAGGAUAGCGGAAUUGUCAGUGUAGCAGUGAAAUGCGUAGAUAUUGACAGGAACACCAGUGGCGCAAGCGGCUAUCUGGACCGACAUCGACGCUGAGGCACGAAAGCGUGGGGAGCAAACAGG